rnacentral:tRNA from 1 species
AUGGCUGUGGCUCAGUGGUAGAGUGUUCACCUAGCAAAAGUGAGGCACUGGGUUUGAUUCUCAGCACCAUA